rnacentral:rRNA from 1 species
AUUGAACGCUGGCGGCAUGCUUUACACAUGCAAGUCGAACGGUAACAGGCCUUCGGGUGCUGACGAGUGGCGAACGGGUGAGUAAUGCAUCGGAACGUGCCCAGAGGUGGGGGAUAACGCAGCGAAAGCUGUGCUAAUACCGCAUGUGAUCUGAGGAUGAAAGCGGGGGACCAGGCAGCAAUGUUUGGCCUCGCGCCUUUGGAGCGGCCGAUGUCAGAUUAGGUAGUUGGUGGGGUAAAGGCCUACCAAGCCGACGAUCUGUAGCUGGUCUGAGAGGACGACCAGCCACACUGGGACUGAGACACGGCCCAGACUCCUACGGGGGGCAGCAGUGGGGAAUUUUGGACAAUGGGCGCAAGCCUGAUCCAGCAAAGCCGCGUGCGGGAAGAAGGCCUUCGGGUUGUAGACCGCUUUUGUACGGAACGAAAAGGCUCUGGCUAAUACCUGGGGCUGAUGACGGUACCGGAAGAAUAAGCACCGGCUAACUACGUG